rnacentral:rRNA from 1 species
GUCUAUAGCCAUGCCACCCUGAACAAGCCCGAUGUGUGAACUUGGGAGCUAAGCAGGGUCAGGCCUGGUUAGUACUUGGAUGGGAGACCAUCGAGGAACACCAGGUGCUACAGGCA